UACGUAGGUGGCAAGCGUUGUCCGGAUUUACUGGGCGUAAAGAGCGCGCAGGCGGUCGUUCAAGUCGCGUGUGAAAGCCCCCGGCUCAACUGGGGAGGGUCACGCGAUACUGAUCGACUCGAAGGCAGGAGAGGGUAGUGGAAUUCCCGGUGUAGUGGUGAAAUGCGUAGAUAUCGGGAGGAACACCAGUGGCGAAGGCGGCUUCCUGGACCGACACUGACGCUGAGGCGCGAAAAGCUAGGGGAGCAAACGGG
rnacentral:rRNA from 1 species